GCGGCCUAUCAGCUUGUUGGUGAGGUAAUGGCUCACCAAGGCGACGACGGGUAGCCGGCCUGAGAGGGCGACCGGCCACACUGGAACUGAGACACGGUCCAGACUCCUACGGGAGGCAGCAGUGGGGAAUAUUGCACAAUGGGCGCAAGCCUGAUGCAGCGACGCCGCGUGGGGGAUGAAGGCCUUCGGGUUGUAAACCCCUUUUAGCAGGGAAGAAGCGAAAGUGACGGUACCUGCAGAAAAAGCGCCGGCUAACUACGUGCCAGCAGCCGCGGUAAUACGUAGGGCGCAAGCGUUGUCCGGAAUUAUUGGGCGUAAAGAGCUCGUAGGCGGUUUGUCGCGUCUGCUGUGAAAAUCCGAGGCUCAACCUCGGACUUGCAGUGGGUACGGGCAGACUAGAGUGUGGUAGGGGAGACUGGAAUUCCUGGUGUAGCGGUGGAAUGCGCAGAUAUCAGGAGGAACACCAAUGGCGAAGGCAGGUCUCUGGGCCACAACUGACGCUGAGGAGCGAAAGCAUGGGGAGCGAACAGGAUUAGAUACCCUGGUAGUCCAUGCCGUAAACGGUGGGCACUAGAUGUGGGGCUCUUUCCAUGAGUUCCGCGUCGCAGCUAACGCAUUAAGUGCCCCGCCUGGGGAGUACGG
rnacentral:rRNA from 1 species